UAAUAAUGAUGAUCUUCUUACUUCGGUCCGUGUUUAUGAACCAUUUUGAUUUAUCAGAAGCUCUGAUAAG